rnacentral:rRNA from 1 species
AUUGAACGCUGGCGGCAGGCCUAACACAUGCAAGUCGAGCGGAUGAAGGGAGCUUGCUCCUGGAUUCAGCGGCGGACGGGUGAGUAAUGCCUAGGAAUCUGCCUGGUAGUGGGGGAUAACGUCCGGAAACGGGCGCUAAUACCGCAUACGUCCUGAGGGAGAAAGUGGGGGAUCUUCGGACCUCACGCUAUCAGAUGAGCCUAGGUCGGAUUAGCUAGUUGGUGGGGUAAAGGCCUACCAAGCCGACGAUCCGUAACUGGUCUGAGAGGAUGAUCAGUCACACUGGAACUGAGACACGGUCCAGACUCCUACGGGAGGCAGCAGUGUGGAAUAUUGGACAAUGGGCGAAAGCCUGAUCCAGCCAUGCCGCGUGUGUGAAGAAGGUCUUCGGAUUGUAAAGCACUUUAAGUUGGGAGGAAGGGCAGUAAGUUAAUACCUUGCUGUUUUGACGGUACCAACAGAAUAAGCACCGGCUAACUUCGUG